rnacentral:rRNA from 1 species
AUUAACGCUCGCGGCAGGCAUAAUACAUGCAAGUUGAACGGCAGCACAGGUAGCAAUACUGGGUGGCGAGUGGCGCACGGGUGCGUAACACGUAUGCAACCUACCCUAUACAGGCGAAUAACCUUUAGAAAUGAGGGCUAAUACGCCGUAGUAUUACAGAUGGGCAUCUAUUUGUAAUUAAAGAUUUAUCGGUAUAGGAUGGGCAUGCGUCCCAUUAGUUAGUUGGUAAGGUAACGGCUUACCAAGACGAUGAUGGGUAGGGG